AUCACAGUAAUUUUGUUGCUCUGGCGAGCAGGUUUUCUUAUACAUAUAUUUAUUUUGAAAAUUCAUAGAUGGAUGAAAUGCUGCUGAGACGUUACAAGAUAUUCCAGCAGAGGCAUCCUUACCGUCCGCAUUACAAGGAUAUGAGAACAUUGGGGUCCUGAAGGCAGUGACCUGUUUACCAUAUACAUAUUUACUUCCUUUCUAGGGCGGAACAAUGGAAGGCACAAUUCCAAAUUUUCAAGUACAGCUCUUCAAGAACAGGAUCUCUGAAGGAACAACAAUUUACAAGCUUGGCGCUUACCAGGUUCAAUAUGCUAGGGAAAGAUACAAAACUGUAGAUCGUCCAUGGAGAGUAGUGUUUGCCCAAAAAACUACCGUGGAACCAAUUGUGCCUCAGCCACCAAACUUUCCCAAGUAUGGAUAUACCACCUACAAUGUACACAGUACCAAAGCUGCAUUAAACAAAUCGUUUUGUUGUCAGUUACCAGCAUCACAAGAAUAUUUGCGCCGAGCGGCGGAUCGAUUGACCAGAUAUGAGAAAAUCACAUCACAAAUAAUUCCCGCCGUUGUGAUGUUUUGGGGAAAAUUAGCAGAUGCCCUUGAUAGUUACAAGCUACAACGGUGGUCUGCUCAAGAACCCAUUAUAGUUCUAUUUGUUGGCAUGCCAGUACAUGAAUUUAAUGUAAGAAACUUGACCUUCAAGUCCUGUCUGGCAACUCGAUGGUACAUAAAUCCAACUAUUUCUGAAGCGGCAGCUAUUCUAGGAAGAUCUACUGCAAGAUCCCAUCAAAUUGAGAUAAGCACCAGCUCACAGGGUCAUCGCUAGGCAACAAAUACAACAAACACAUAAUUAUCAGCCGUUGACCCUGGUGGAAUCAUGGACCAGUACUAUAAACUGGAAAUAAAGAGAACUGAAGUGUCCCCUUCCAUGGCGUUGGGGGGCCUUUCUCUGCCAGGCGCGGUGGCUCCUUGGUAGGUCGAUGCAGCUUGCUCGGCGGAGGCUAGGAGGCUCGUCGGCCGACAUUUCGUUGAUGCAUGGGUGCCAUAUUGCGAUGGAAAGGCAGUAUAAUAUACAAAACUUUGACGAGGCUCACCUGCUUCAAAAUUUCACAAUAAGUCCAAUCAAGACAACUUGCAACUUUGGUGUUGUCACAUUGGAGUCCGUGCUGAGCAGCAAUGGGAGACUGUCGUUGAUGCCCGACCCAUGAUGCCGACGAAGGAACGAGAGUCGAUGAGGAGUAGACGCCAUGGGUUUGUGAACUGGCCAAGCCACCGUUGUCCGUUUGGUAAUGUGACUUGCCCUGAUUUUGACGUCGUCUACCAACAUCCGACGAAGGGAACCCGUCCCGGUUUCCAUCUUGAUGGUCAGCCAUGUUUACUAAAAUAUAUAAUUUCUAAAACAUUUCCAGCAAUAUGUGAGUUGUUUGCUUGCUCAACCUUACGCUAGGAUCGUUUCUACAUACUACAAAUAGAGGGAAGUUGGCUUGUGCCUUACUAGAGACAGAUGAACCAAUAAAAUGAUUGGAAAGGCUCUUUCCAAGCAUAAGAGGAGCUUUUGAAGGGACUGAAGAACCGGAACCUCCCCUCCUCCCUCCCGCGACGCUCCCGCAGGCGUCCGGGGGGCAACCCUAGCACCGCCGCCGGUCCCCCCUCCUCCUCUCCCUCCGCCCUCGCGGCCGCCCGGGGGCGCGAGCGGGCGAAGCCCGCUCAUCGCUGGCGGCGGCGGGGCCUUCUCGUCUCCGCGCGUGGGGG